UUUCUCUUCUGUGAGAUUUAAAUGGUCUUAUGUCAGCUGGCAGGGAAAAAAAUUCACCAUGAGAGGAAAAGGAAUCUACUGAGGACUGUGGUUCAAUAGGAAGGCUUGAAUAUUUGUGUUCAAGAGCAGGGUCUGGUCAAAGUAUAUGACUGAAGCAGGAAGGGUUUCUGAGAUCCAGCCCCCAGAUUAGGCAGCCAAGCUUCAAAAAAAAAACUGGAUUUUCAGCAGAGCAUUUUAAGACCAAGAAAUAUAGAUGCCAGGCUCUCCAUGCAGGACAUUCCAAGAGAUUGUGAAACCAACUGUUAAACUGCAGCCCAUCACCUACCUUGAGGAUUUAUAGAUACUGGCAGGAUGAGGACUAUUAAAGUAACUACUCCUGGACCUUGCUAUGUGCUCCCUGGCAUUUGAGUGCAUAGCCAAGAGGCCGGCUGGAGCCACUGGAGUGACAGAGAAAAGUGAGGGCUUCAUGGGCAGCAGCCUGCACCUCUGGAAGCAGACAGGGCUCAGCACAUCCUCAAGGAAAAUCUCUGGUGUUGAGUCAACUUGGGAAGGUUUGAAAUUUUGAUUGUGGUAAUUGUUACACAAUGCAUACAUGUAUCAAAUCAUCAUAUUGUGCACCUUUGAUAUAUUUAUGUAGUCUACUUUUUUCUUUUUCCCAAAUAAAAGAAGUAUUGUGAUGAAGCAAAUUAGAAAAAAGCCUUAGCUUGCUUGCAAGACA
rnacentral:lncRNA from 1 species